rnacentral:lncRNA from 1 species
CAAACUUUAAGGAUCAAAAUUAUAAAAAUGGAUAGUUCCACUGAAUUUUACAUAAUUCUAAUCAUGAACAAAAUAAACUUAGAAUUAUUCAAUCAUUACAUCUGGCUAAAUAUUCUAAUAAUCGCAGCUAUAACUUCAUUGAAAAGCUACACAAAUACUCAUGUUAAACCCCAUAAUCUGUAUAUCAAGUGAAAGAAGAAAGGUAUAACUGACAUUACAAUGUAUCAUUAUUUACACUCAAACUCCAAAUAAGCUACAUAAAUAGGCUUGUGUAACUAUGAGUCUCACAAUUAUCAUUUCAUAAUACAUUUAAAUAAAAGUAGUUCCUAACUGCAGCCUAAUAAAUACAGCUCCUCUACGAGAUCAUUGACUUUCAGAUUACGCCUGACUCUUUAACGAUGCUCUUGGAUGCUAUUUUGGCCUCAAUGUUUACAGAUUUGGCCAACUAUAGUCAAAUAUGCAAAAUAUGGCACUGUGGACAGUAAACAACAAUUCAUUCUUAUUCCUAAUUUUAAUAGGAAACAUCUUAACAUAUUCAGAGUAUGGUAAUGGCACUUUACUUGAAUUCUAUGUACAAGUAAUCCAUGACAGCACACAAAUCAACAAACAACCAUUCAAACUCUGAAGGAGAAGACAAAUUCAGACUUCAAACUAGAGCUUGCAGUUAUAAAAUGCAAUUUAUAAGACAAAAAGUGAAGAACUAUUGCAAUUUUUCAUGGUAAUAUAGUAUCAUAAUGACAGAUACGUCAUUAGAGAUUAGAAGUAGUACCUUGACAGCAGUAAAAACAACAAGAAAAUAAGAUUCUGACUUGAAGAAAUGCAGCUAAACAGAGUCAGCUACAGCUUAAUCAAAUAGUAGCCAAACAGUAAAAAUGAAGCUUCCACGAAAUUUCAAACCCAGAAUUUGAAAAGAAACAACUGUCCAAUGAUGAAGCAAGCUAAUGAAUACCUUUGGUUAUUUUUUUUGUUUCUAAAAUCCCAAAUUUGGUUUUCUAGAAAAUUUUUCUUUACUAAAAAUGAAAAAUGAAGAAUAGUGGACUCUUAGAAAUUAGUGAGGAAAUGCAAGGAGGAAUUCUAACUUGAGAGUGCUUUUUCGUGUGUAAAAAUCUAUCUGAAUGAAGGGUAUGUCAGGCUUCUUAUAUAGACAAAGGAUGAGGGAAUAAUUCUGGGGAAUGCAGUCCCUAAAAAUAUGAAAGAGCAUAUUUUGAAACUGAAUUGGGACAGUUGUUCAGAUAUUUACUCACCUUUUUUCAGCCCUUUUACUUCUGAUUUUAACACUUUUAACCCCAAAAUUUGAUCUAAUUUCUUAUUUUUUAAUGCACAUUAGUCCCUUCUUGAGACUCCCCUAACAACUGAAAAAGAUUCCAUAUUUUCAAUGCCCUUAAGCCCCCUUAAGUUUCAGUUGUUACUUCUUAAAACUCCCAAACAAAAAACCUUUCCUAAUGUUUACAAACAGCUUCAGCAAGAAAAUCAAACAUAUCCAAAGAUAAAAAGUCAAAACAAGACAAACAAAUGCAAUUGUGCAAUAAAUAAAAAUAGAAAAUUGUUUUAACAUUCCAACACGACUAAAUUGACCAAUCAUUUAAUUAAACUAUCUACUAAUCUACUGAACUAAAACACAAAACUAAACAAUCUUAAAUCCUAACAUGCUGACAGAUUUUUCUAACAAAUCAAAAUUCAUGAAAAUCAAAGAACAAAGAGACAAGCAAAUGGUAGAUUAUUACCUAAAUACAACAAGAAAAACUUUUGACAAAUACUUGGCCAAUCAUAGAGUCCGAACAUCUCCGAAAUGCUCUGAAAGUAACACUAAUCGAUUGUUCUUGCCAAAAAAAAUCGAUUAGCAUAAGUUUCGAGUCAAAACGGGUAUUGAAACUCAGAAAAUCAGAAAGAGGAGGAAACUGGGGUUUCUGCCCCUUUUUAGAUCUAAAAUUCGGCAAAUUUGGUGGGUAUCUUGGGAAACUAGUGGGAGAUUAGUGAUGAGGGAGGUAAGAUUUGGGGUGGUUUGGAGCAUUGCCGCCGCCGUGGGCGAUUUCCGGGGCGGCCAGUGGCGGAGGUUUAGAGAGAGGUGAACGGGGGGAAAUGGAUGUCUUCUCUAGGGUUUGGGGGGGUCCCCGACAUUUUUAGGGGGAAUGGAGAGUUAGUUGCGACCCGUUGGAUAAAAAAUGAUA